rnacentral:lncRNA from 1 species
GGCGCUCGGGCCCCGGUGAUUGGGGCGCUAUUUUGCUCCGGCUCCCUCCGGCAGCUGUUGCUGUUCUUUACCCGGCAGAGCCGGGGCCGCCCCGGGGCUGCAGCCGAGGAGGAGGCGGCGGCCGACCCCAGGAGCUGUGCUGGUCUGGGACAGAUGCCAACGCUCCGGUGAGCAGCCACAGCCUCGGGGAGAGCGGCGGAGCCCAUGACCCGGAGCAGCCCGAGGCGGGGACAGGAGCCGGACAUGGCCCGAGCCAGCCCCGCCCGGCGGGGACAGGAAAGCGGCGGGAGAAGAAGCGGGGAGAGAAGGGGGAGCCAAGGGCAGCGCUGCCGGC